GCGGGUGUGGUGUGGGAUACAGCUGCUUCCAGUGUUGAUCAAACUUUCGAACACAAGCAGCCAACCGGGUUCGAUUCCCGGCGCCCACA